rnacentral:rRNA from 1 species
UCACUCAAAGAUGAUCCCGCGUUGUAUUAGCUAGUUGGUGAGGUAAAGGCUCACCAAGGCGAUGAUACAUAGCCGACCUGAGAGGGUGAUCGGCCACAUUGGGACUGAGACACGGCCCAAACUCCUACGGGAGGCAGCAGUAGGGAAUCUUCGGCAAUGGACGAAAGUCUGACCGAGCAACGCCGCGUGAGUGAAGAAGGUUUUCGGAUCGUAAAACUCUGUUGGUAGAGAAGAACGUUGGUGAGAGUGGAAAGCUCAUCAAGUGACGGUAACUACCCAGAAAGGGACGGCUAACUACGUGCCAGCAGCCGCGGUAAUACGUAGGUCCCGAGCGUUGUCCGGAUUUAUUGGGCGUAAAGCGAGCGCAGGUGGUUUAUUAAGUCUGGUGUAAAAGGCAGUGGCUCAACCAUUGUAUGCAUCGGAAACUGGUAGACUUGAGUGCAGGAGAGGAGAGUGGAAUUCCAUGUGUAGCGGUGAAAUGCGUAGAUAU